CACGUAGGGCGCAAGCGUUGUCCGGAAUUAUUGGGCGUAAAGAGCUCGUAGGCGGUCUGUUGCGUCCGCUGUGAAAACUCGGGGCUUAACCCCGAGCCUGCAGUGGAUACGGGCAGACUAGAGGUAGGUAGGGGAGAAUGGAAUUCCCGGUGUAGCGGUGAAAUGCGCAGAUAUCGGGAGGAACACCGGUGGCGAAGGCGGGUCUCUGGACAGUUCCUGACGCUGAGGCACGAAGGCCAGGGGGAGCAAACGGG
rnacentral:rRNA from 1 species